ACACCGAUGGUGAAGUGGUUAUCAUGCUUGCCUUCCACUUGAUAAUGGUAGCAAGCGGCAGGGGUUCGAUUCCCCUUCGGUGUA
rnacentral:tRNA from 1 species